CAUCAGUCAAUCUAGAUACUUUAUUCAAGCCCCAUUAAAUGAAAUACUGCCAAAAAUUACCACCAAGCUAAAGUUUUGACACAUUCAGUGAAAUCCAAACCGAAACCAAACGUGGAAUGGCCAAUGCAAUGUAUCGCUUGGCAACACUGGUAAGCUUGCUGCGCCGGCAGCACAUGGACGGCAGCUGUCAGAUACCGAGGCCUGUUUUCGUGUGUAAUUUUCGUUCGUGCAUCCGUGUUAACGCAAUGUUCUCCGCGGUUUGUGUGUUAUUCGUGAACGCAAUCGGAACGAGUCCUCAUCAACGCAGUUUAACGCGACUUGCAGUGAUGAUUAUAUGCCAGUGCUCAUCGUGAAACUGCACAAACCGCGUCACUGCUGAUGGAGCUGCCACGUACGUAGACGGCGGCGCCCGAGAAGACCUUUUCUGAAGAGAAUGCGUGCCUGGCGAUUGUCACUUGCAGUCGCAACUUUUACAAAGUGGCAGCUGGCCUCCAUGGGGCGGUGCAGACAGGGGACUGUCAUUGCUGGAGCACCUCCUGGCUAUCCACAGGAAAUGGAAAAAACAUGGUAAAUUCAAACCCCCUCUGGUUCUCAUUUUCAUGUUUCCAUAAGUGUGUGUGUGUU